rnacentral:rRNA from 1 species
UACGUAGGGUGCAAGCGUUGUCCGGAAUUAUUGGGCGUAAAGAGCUCGUAGGCGGCUUGUCACGUCGGAUGUGAAAGCCCGGGGCUUAACUCCGGGUCUGCAUUCGAUACGGGCUAGCUAGAGUGUGGUAGGGGAGAUCGGAAUUCCUGGUGUAGCGGUGAAAUGCGCAGAUAUCAGGAGGAACACCGGUGGCGAAGGCGGCAUCCUGGACCGACACUGACGCUGAGGAGCGAAAGCCAGGGGAGCAAACGGG